rnacentral:rRNA from 1 species
GAUGAACGCUGGCGGCGUGCCUAAUACAUGCAAGUCGAGCGAACAGACGAGGAGCUUGCUCCUCUGACGUUAGCGGCGGACGGGUGAGUAACACGUGGAUAACCUACCUAUAAGACUGGGAUAACUUCGGGAAACCGGAGCUAAUACCGGAUAAUAUAUUGAACCGCAUGGUUCAAUAGUGAAAGACGGUUUUGCUGUCACUUAUAGAUGGAUCCGCGCCGCAUUAGCUAGUUGGUAAGGUAACGGCUUACCAAGGCAACGAUGCGUAGCCGACCUGAGAGGGUGAUCGGCCACACUGGAACUGAGACACGGUCCAGACUCCUACGGGAGGCAGCAGUAGGGAAUCUUCCGCAAUGGUCGAAAGCCUGACGGAGCAACGCCGCGUGAGUGAUGAAGGUCUUCGGAUCGUAACACUCUGUUAUUAGGGAAGAACAACUGUGUAAGUAACUAUGCACGUCUUGACGGUACCUAAUCAGAAAGCCACGGCUAACUACGUG